rnacentral:rRNA from 1 species
CAUGGCUCAGGACGAACGCUGGCGGCGUGCCUAAUACAUGCAAGUCGAGCGAAUCAUAAGGUGCUUGCACCUUAUGGUUAGCGGCGGACGGGUGAGUAACACGUGGGCAACCUGCCUGUAAGACUGGGAUAACUUCGGGAAACCGGAGCUAAUACCGGAUAAUCCUUUUCCUCUCAUGAGGAAAAGCUGAAAGUCGGUUUACGCUGACACUUACAGAUGGGCCCGCGGCGCAUUAGCUAGUUGGUGAGGUAACGGCUCACCAAGGCGACGAUGCGUAGCCGACCUGAGAGGGUGAUGGGCCACACUGGGACUGAGACACGGCCCAGACUCCUACGGGAGGCAGCAGUAGGGAAUCUUCCGCAAUGGACGAAAGUCUGACGGGAGCAACGCCGCGUGAGCGAUGAAGGGCCUUCGGGGUCGUAAAGCUCUGUUGUUAGGGGAAGAACAAAGUACCGGGAGUAACUGCCGGUACCUUGACGGUACCCUAACCCAGAAAGCCACGGCUAACUACGUGCCAGCAGCCGCGGUAAUUACCGUAAGGUGGCAAGCGUUGUCCCGGAAUUAUUGGGGCGUAAAGCGCGCGCAGGCGGUCCUUUUAAGGUCUGAUGUGAAAGCCCACCGGCUUCAACCGGUGGAAGGGUCCAUUUGGGAAACUGGGGGGACUUGAGGUACCAGAAAGAAGGAAAGGCGGAAUUUCCCACCGGUGGUAGCGGGUGAAAUUGCGGUCAGAAGAUGGUGGAGGGAACCACCCAGUGGGCCGGAAAGUGCGGUCUUUUUUCUUGUCUUGGUUAACACUGGACC